CCUGAGGCGGGGGCUCCCGAGCAUUCCCCGGAGCGGGCACAAGGGACCAGUCACAGCAUGACGGGCAAAGCGGGGGACGCGCUGGCCCACAGCCUGCCCGGCAAACCCCAACCCCCCGAAGGCGCGCCUCCUCCUAUGCCGGCCUCCGGUUCUAAUGGGGCAGGGGCUGUAGUAGGGGGCUGUGCCACGGGGGCCAAGCCUAGCUCGGGCCCUACAGCACCACGCUGCACCGGCUUCGGCAUUCAGGAAAUCUUGGGCUUGAACAAGGAGCCGCCUUCCCAACCUCGCGCAGCCCUGGACUCCUUACCCGCCGGGCACCUGCUGGCGGCCCGCUCCGUCCUCAGCCCAGGCGGGGUGGGCAGCGUGGGCAUGGGCUUGCUGAGCACCGGCAGCCUCCCGGGUUUCUACGCGCAGCCCACUUUCCUGGAGGUAUUGGCCGACCCGCCCAGCGUACACCUGCAGCCGCUGGGCAGAGCCCCCGCGCAGCUAGACACCAGCCAGACGGCCAGCUCAGAUUCCGAAGAUGUUUCCUCCACGGACAGAAAAAUGUCGAAAUCGACCUUAAACCAGAGUAAGAAGCGGAAGAAGAGGCGGCACAGGACAAUCUUCACAUCCUACCAGCUGGAGGAACUGGAAAAAGCAUUCAACGAAGCCCACUAUCCUGAUGUUUAUGCAAGAGAAAUGCUGGCUAUGAAAACAGAACUUCCUGAAGAUAGGAUACAGGUUUGGUUUCAGAAUCGCCGGGCCAAAUGGCGAAAGAGAGAAAAAUGUUGGGGAAGAAGCAGUGUAAUGGCAGAAUAUGGCCUGUACGGUGCAAUGGUGCGUCACUCCAUCCCACUGCCAGAAUCCAUUCUGAAAUCAGCCAAGGAUGGCAUAAUGGAAUCUUGUGCCCCUUGGUUGUUGGUUCAAGAUGGCUUUCCCAUGCCCAGGCGCUUUUCUAAACCCGAAUACCAACAAUUCUUUUUAGGGAUGCACAAAAAGUCUCUGGAGGCAGCGGCUGAGGCAGGAAGGAAGCCGGAGAUGGAACGCCAGGCCCUGCCCAAGCUCGACAAGAGUGACAAGGAAGAAAGGGGGGCAGAUUCCAAAACUACCAUUUCCCAGGAGGAACUCAGAGAGAACAGCAUUGCUGCCCUCAGGGCCAAAGCUCAGGAGCAUAGCACCAAAGUCCUGGGGACCAUCCCUGGAGAUCCUCCUACCCCAGUCAGGAAGCCAGAAAAAGAGGAAGAGGCAGCCACGGCAGAGGAUGAUCGGCAAAUGGAAAAAUCAGAUUUAUUACAAGAGGAUGAAAAACUGGUUUAGAAGGAAGGGGAUGAUGGGAAAUCAGCCAUCUUCUUGAAGACUGACUCAUCUAGUAGCUUCCGCCUCCUCUCAGACUAAUGGGGUCCUCCCUGUAAUCCCUACUCACCUGGAGGGUGGAUCCACUUGGUCUCUAUACAUUUCAGGAAAUCACAGGCUAAGGCCAUGUUGUGCUGGGUGUGUUCAAAGACUGAUUCCCUCAGGAGCAUAUUGCCCCUGCAAUCUUUGUGCUCAGGAGCCGUUGGGCUCUGCCUCCCUCCAUUUCAAGCAGGGAGAGGGAGGUGGACAUUGAAUACUUUCACAGUUUAUUAAAUCAUUAUUGCCUUCCCCCACCUGCUAUUCAGCAUCCAUUAUUCCAUUAUCACUUCCUCUUUAAAAAUAGUCAUCUCAUUAUCUAGAUUCACACAUUGUGAUAAGCCAUGUUUUAUUUUAACUAUGAUUUUUUUUUAAGUAAGCUUCAAUGUUUAGUUUUGCUGUCACAUUUAAUCCAUAUACUUUAGUUUACAAAUCACAAUGUUUGGUACAGACAACAUACUAAGCCAAAGCAAACAAACAAACGAUACAAUGGCUUACCAUCCUGUCUGUGCUCAAUCAUUAUAUGCAGUGAUCAAAAUAAGUAUCUUUCUGCUUGACUUGAUCAGGUUGUUACCUUUCUCAGAAGAGAAUUAAAAGGCUUAAUUGUGCAUAUUUAUAUUUUCAUUUAAAACUGCCCAUUGCCUGGCAUUAAGGCUAUAUAAUAAAGGAAGCAUUCUUUUCCAAAAAUCAACCCAAAAUUUAAAAUUGAUCAGGGGGCAACCCUACCUCAUACUGUGUUCCUGAUUACAGCAUCAGCAUCAUUGAUUUAAGACGUUCAGCUGCCCUACUCUACUAACACAAUGUGAACUUUGCCUAAUAAUACCUAAUUUUGGACUGUUGAGAACCCCUGGUUAAGAUAUCCGGAUGUAGCUUGUCACAGUCUGCCUUUGCUUACCAUCUUGAAAUAGGUAAUGCCGUUUUUUCCCUAGAGCAUUUCAGGAGAAAUCAUAUCAAUAAAAUAAAUUAUAUUUGUAUGACACUGAGUUAAUUCCAGUGAAGAUUAUAUUCCAUAUAUUGUAACGUAAUCAUGAAUUGCUAUGGUUGGGAAUGGAGCACUCAGGGUACCAAGACUAUCUGGAUGCCAUAUCGUGUAACUCAGAUCCCAGCCACUUUUCCCAAUCUUGUGUGUUUAGCUUUAGCUAGGGUAGUUGAUGAUGUGAGAAAUGCAUCUCAGAGAUAAAUUUCAGUUGUUAUACUUGAUAUUCAACAUCCUUAAGGGACCGUGAACAAUGAAUUAAGCAAGAGUCUGAUUUCAUCUGCUCAUGAGCCUGGAUGGCUUCCUUAUGGUUCACAAAUUCAAGUCAAGAAAUGGAGAGUAAGACUUACCUCUAGUAGUGAUGUUUCUUGAGAAAGAAAUUUUCACUUGAGUUUUAAAAACCUAUUAGUACUGCAUUGUGUUUACAUUAAUAUGAAAAUUCUAUCAGAAGUGUUUCAUCGUUAGUGAUCAUUAACUAUCUUUGCUUGGUGUUGCAGUCAGCAAAUGGUAAAGAUAGAAUCACUGUAUUAGCAAAUACUUAUAGUCAGUUUAUGGUCAUUUAAGUAAUCAUAUCAAGUCAUUUAAGUAAUCAUAUCAAGUCAUCAAGUCAUCAAGUCUUAUUGCCUAAGAAACUCUGUUGCUCUUUUCUUUUUCGGUGAAGGCCCAGGAUAGCAAGUCCCCAUUUUUUCCCUGUCUUUAUUUUUAACAAGAGCUGUUUUAUUUAUGAUUGAUUUUCCUUGCUGAUAUAAUCCCUUUGUAUGUCCCCCAGUUAUCUGUUGUUUUAGAUAAUAACCCAUGGUAUGUAAAUAUUGUAUAUAUGGUAAGAAAAAUUGGUAUUUGAGGUGUUUAAGAUAAAAGGUUGUAACAACUAGUCUUUGAAACUUGUGAUUUUGUGCCAUUUUUCUGUAAAGAUAUAAAUCAGAAUAAAUCCAAACUGAAGAUGAACAAGAAUGAUGCUGCAGUAUAACUAAUAAGUGCUGUUUAGAUAUUGCAACAUAGGCAAUAUCUGAAUCAAAUAAAAUCCUUUUUAUGGCCUUUAGGCCACAGAGGGCUAUAUCUCAGCAUGAGAAGAAAACUACUAAUAUGAAAGGGACAUUUAGAAACAGCAUAUUAGAAACUGUAGAAACCUUCAUUAAAAUAUUGGAAACCUUCAUUAAAAUAUUUGAUUAUUAUUGCUAUUUUUCUGGCCUUCUAUGCAUAAAAAAAGCUUAAAACACGAAUGCUUUUAAGAGAAACCACCAGUUUAGAUGAAUCCACUCUAUCUUCUUUGACUUAAUGCUAAAUGAGAUGUAUCACCUCCAACACUUCUCUUUGAGCACUGAGGAAGACUGCAUUGUUUCCAACACUUGAAUCAAAAUGCCUUGACACAUUGUGUCAUGUUGUGUCCAUUCUGGAUUCUUAUAUCAGGCAGGGAAAAAAAACCAAAACAAAACCCAACAUUAUUUCUCAAAACAGCCCAUGAAUUUGUUAAACUUUACUAUCCUUAUUAAUAUUAGGAGAGAAAACCAUUGGAGACAAAUUCAUCAGUUACCAUUACUUCAGUACCAGAAAUAAGAUUAAAUAUAAAGAUGCCAGAGAAUGGCUGACUUUAAUAUUUUGCCAUCAUAGUGCAAGCUGCCUCUUUCUCCAAUAGCCUCUUCAUCACUUAGAUUUAAAGGAAAAUCUGAUUGAAGGAGGACCGAUAAUAGUCUGCAAUUGUUUUGAAAAUGGACUACUGAAUUCUAAUGUUACUCCCUCCAUCUUUCUUGCUAUUGGAUGAGAGGAUAGAUACGAAGUCACUGAUUAUUUGUUCCUUAUUGUGUUUGGAUAUUUUCUGUGUCUAUGUUUGCAUUACAUAAUGAAUAUUUUUUCUGCUCAAAAGCUUUAUACAUGAGUUUUGAAUAUUUAUUUAUUAUUAUAAAUAUUGAGUUCCUGCUAGUUUCUAAUACCAUCUAGAUGUGUUAACAUGUUGAAGCAUUACAUA